UACGAAGGGGGCUAGCGUUGCUCGGAAUUACUGGGCGUAAAGCGCACGUAGGCGGUCUUUUAAGUCGGGGGUGAAAUCCUGGAGCUCAACUCCAGAACUGCCUUCGAUACUGGAAGACUCGAGUCCGGGAGAGGUGAGUGGGAACUGCGAGUGUAGAGGUGAAAUUCGUAGAUAUUCGCAAGAACACCAGUGGCGAAGGCGGCUCACUGGCCCGGUACUGACGCUGAGGUGCGAAAGCGAGGGGAGCAAACGGG
rnacentral:rRNA from 1 species